AUUGAACGCUGGCGGCAGGCCUAACACAUGCAAGUCGAACGAGUGGCGGACGGGUGAGUAAUGUCUGGGAAACUUCCUGAUGGAUGGGGAUACCUACUGGCAACGGUAGCUAAUACCGCAUACCAUCAGAUGUGCCCAGAUGGGAUUAGCUAGUUGUUGGGGUAACGGCUCACCAAGGCGACGAUCCCUAGCUGGUCUGAGAGGAUGACCAGUCAAACUGGAACUGAGACAAGGUCCAGACUCCUACGGGAGGCAGCAGGGGGGAAUAUUGCACAAUGGGCGCAAGCCUGAUGCAGACAUGCCGCGUGUAUGAAGAAGGCUUUCGGGGUGUAAAGUACGUUCAGCGGGGAGGCGUUAACCGCAGAAGAAGCACAGGCUAACUCCGUGCCAGCAGCCGCGGUAAUAC
rnacentral:rRNA from 1 species